rnacentral:rRNA from 1 species
CCUGGCGGCUUUAGCGCGGUGGUCCCACCUGACCCCAUGCCGAACUCAGAAGUGAAACGCCGUAGCGCCAGGGGAACCUGCGGUUGGAUCACCUCCUUACCUUAAAGAACCUGCCUUUGUAGUGC